UGGGGAAUAUUGGACAAUGGGGGGAACCCUGAUCCAGCAAUGCCGCGUGUGUGAAGAAGGCCUGCGGGUUGUAAAGCACUUUAGUUGGGGAGGAAAGAGCGAAGGUGAAUAUCCUUUGAAGUGACGUUACCCAAAGAAUAAGCACCGGCUAACUCCGUGCCAGCAGCCGCGGUAAUACGGAGGGUGCGAGCGUUAAUCGGAAUUACUGGGCGUAAAGCGUGUGUAGGCGGUUAAUUAAGUCAGAUGUGAAAGCCCCGGGCUCAACCUGGGAACUGCAUUUGAUACUGGUUAACUAGAGUACGGUAGAGGGCAGUGGAAUUUCUGGUGUAGCGGUGAAAUGCGUAGAUAUCAGAAGGAACACCGAUGGCGAAGGCAGCUGCCUGGGCCGAAACUGACGCUGAGAUACGAAAGCGUGGGGAGCAAACA
rnacentral:rRNA from 1 species